GCGAGCGGAACCACAGAUUUACUUCGGUAAUGACGUUGGGAAAGCGAGCGGCGGAUGGGUGAGUAACACGUGGGGAACCUGCCCCUAAGUCUGGGAUACCAUUUGGAAACAGGUGCUAAUACCGGAUAAUAAAGCAGAUCGCAUGAUCAGCUUUUGAAAGGCGGCGUAAGCUGUCGCUAAGGGAUGGCCCCGCGGUGCAUUAGCUAGUUGGUAAGGUAACGGCUUACCAAGGCGACGAUGCAUAGCCGAGUUGAGAGACUGAUCGGCCACAUUGGGACUGAGACACGGCCCAAACUCCUACGGGAGGCAGCAGUAGGGAAUCUUCCACAAUGGACGCAAGUCUGAUGGAGCAACGCCGCGUGAGUGAAGAAGGUUUUCGGAUCGUAAAGCUCUGUUGUUGGUGAAGAAGGAUAGAGGUAGUAACUGGCCUUUAUUUGACGGUAAUCAACCAGAAAGUCACGGCUAACUACGUGCCAGCAGCCGCGGUAAUACGUAGGUGGCAAGCGUUGUCCGGAUUUAUUGGGCGUAAAGCGAGCGCAGGCGGAAAAAUAAGUCUAAUGUGAAAGCCCUCGGCUUAACCGAGGAACUGCAUCGGAAACUGUUUUUCUUGAGUGCAGAAGAGGAGAGUGGAACUCCAUGUGUAGCGGUGGAAUGCGUAGAUAUAUGGAAGAACACCAGUGGCGAAGGCGGCUCUCUGGUCUGCAACUGACGCUGAGGCUCGAAAGCAUGGGUAGCGAACAGGAUUAGAUACCCUGGUAGUCCAUGCCGUAAACGAUGAGUGCUAAGUGUUGGGA
rnacentral:rRNA from 1 species